CAAGCAAGAGCACAACAGUACCAAAAAGAACAGGUGCGACAAAAGAAGAACCGCAUAGGCAUAUCCUAUUUCUAUAACUCCUUGCAGUAAGCUAAAUAAAGGGCCCUAAAAAUAAGACGCCCUAAUCUAUGGAACCUGUAAAUGUUACCUUAUGUUGAAAAAGGAUCUCCCAAAUGUGAUUAAAUUAAGGAAUUUGAGAUGGGAAGAUUGUUCUGGAUUAUCUGGGUAGGCCCUGAAGACCAUCAUAAGUGUCCUUACAAGAAGGAAGCAGAGGGAGGUCUGACAUACGCGAAGGAAAGGCCAUGUAUGAGAAGACAGACUAAAGAGUUCGACAGAGGCUGGCUUGGAAGACUGGAGUGAUGUAGCCACAAACCAAGGAGUGGCAGCAGCUACAGAAACUGAAGUAGGAGGACACCUUGAUUUAGGCCCCGUGACACUGAUUCAGACUGUGGCCGACAGAACACUGAAACAAUAAAUAUCUGUCGUUUCAA